rnacentral:rRNA from 1 species
AUUGAACGCUGGCGGCAGGCCUAACACAUGCAAGUCGAGCGGAGCGGGGACGGGUGAGUAACACGUGGGUAACCUCCCAUCAGAGGGGAUAACACUUGGAAACAGGUGCUAAACCGAUACGGAGGGAUGGACCCGCGGUGCAUUAGCUAGUUGGUGAGGUAACGGCUCACCAAGGCCACGAUUCAUAGCCGACCUGAGAGGGUGAUCGGCCACACUGGGACGUAGACACGGCCCAGACUCCUACGGGAGGCAGCAGUAGGGAAUCUUCGGCAAUGGGCGAAAGUCUGACCGAGCAACGCCGCGUGAGUGAAGAAGGUUUUCGGAUCUUAAAACUCUGUUGUUAGAGAAGCGUUAUCUAACCAGAAAGCCACGGCUAACUACGUGCCAGCAGCCGCGGUAAUAC